AUUAACCAGCUGACCUUAAGAUAGGGAAACUACUCAUCUAAUCACACGGGCCCUUUAAAAGCGGAGUGUUUUCUUUGGCUGGAGGCAGAAGAGGAAAUCUUAGAGAUUCCAAGCCUGAGAAGGACUCAACCCACAAUUACUGGCUUUGAGGAUGGAGCAAGGGGGCAAUGAGCCAAGGAAUACAGCCGGAAAACCAUUGGUACUUGCCCCAGGUAGGAGGAGGAGCAGAGAACAGAAGGUUUCUGUGGAGCUGCGUUAAUCACCAAGGAGAGGCAGAUGGCUCCAAGCCCACAGAGUGUGACCCAGAUGAAUUUCUUACAAGAAAUAUCUCAGAGGAAUAUUACCAGAGCUGGAGAUCUUCCACAUUCAGAUCCUACAUGUAUCUGUGGUGCUGGGCAGAGAUACCUUGACUAUGAAUAAUAGUUUCAAUAAGGAAGACAGAAUGAGUUCUGACACGAUGGUUGGGAGCUGUGACAGGCAGACGAAAAAUGGAGCCAAAUGGCAUGGAGGUGUGUCAUCACUGCUGGAUUUUACCUUGAUCUACAUUCAGUUAUCUACUUCUUUUCAAAAUGCUGGGCAUUCAUUCAAGAAACAGCAUAUAUGUUCUGACUUUGAAGUAAUGGAUGAACUGUCAUGUGCAGUAUAUGGAAAUAAGUUUUAUUACCUUCUUCCCACAUUAACUCAUCCAUCCAUUCAAUAGCCAUUUAUUGAGAAGCUCACUCUGUGUUAGGCACAGUGGUGCUGAAAGCAAUAUGUUUCACCAUACGGACUAUUUACAUC
rnacentral:lncRNA from 1 species